rnacentral:rRNA from 1 species
AGGGUUAGACUGUCUCCUUUUUCAAAUCAGUGAAAUUAAUCUCCCCGUGAAGAAGCGGGGAUACUCAUAUAAGACGAGAAGACCCCAUGGAGCUUCAAACCCAACUACACCCCUAGCUCUUAUAGCCCCACAACCCCCCUAGGCACCGUGUGCUUGGUUUUAGGUUGGGGCGACCGCGGAGUACAAUAAAACCUCCACAAUGAAUGGGAACACCCCCUUAUCUGAGGGCCACACCCCCUAAGAAUUAGAACACUAACAUAAAAUGAUCCAUUAUUUGAUCAAUGAACCAAGUUACCCUGGGGAUAACAGCGCAAUCCAUUUCAAGAGCCCCUAUCGACAAAUGGGUUUACGACCUCGAUGUUGGAUCAGGGUACCCCAGUGGUGCAGCAGCUACUAACGGUUCGUUUGUUCAACGAUUAAAACCCU